rnacentral:piRNA from 1 species
UGACGUUAUGGACACACAAGCUGGAU